AGUGGCCUAAUAAGUCACUGGCCUCCCAAGCCAGGGAUUGUGGGUUUAAAUCCCAUCUUGUUUAUACCA